AGGACGAACGCUGGCGGCGUGCUUAACACAUGCAAGUCGAACGGUAAGGCCCUUCGGGGUACACGAGUGGCGAACGGGUGAGUAACACGUGGGUGACCUGCCUCGAGCUCUGGGAUAAGCCUGGGAAACUGGGUCUAAUACCGGAUAUGACCUCAUGUCGCAUGGUGUGGGGUGGAAAGUUUUUCGGCUCGAGAUGGGCCCGCGGCCUAUCAGCUUGUUGGUGGGGUGAUGGCCUACCAAGGCGACG
rnacentral:rRNA from 1 species